CCUCAGAAUCAUUAAGACUAUACUUUCAGGGAUCAUUUCUAUAGGUUCUGACUUGAGAAAUGUGUUUCUAAAGUGUUUGGUCUCGCUAACCAUGAUGAUGAGUUGUGAUAUUCCCUUCAGAGCGUGAAGCUGAUAGAGAAUAAUGAUUCGGUUCAUAUGUUUUCUGUCAUUGAUGAUUGUUCUUUGCCUCCUCAUGGAGCUUUGAUGAAGGGAAUAUGAUCAGAGUGGUAGCAGCAGAUAUGUGUAAAUGUAAUUUGAGUCAAGACGAUACAAAAUUUUGAUAAGUGCUGUUGGCAAUUAAUAUGCAACUUACAUUGUUAACUUUAUGUGUUGAGAAAAUAUAUUAUUGGGAAGGUUUAAGAUAGCUGUGUGGGGCUGGCUAAGGUUUAUCACUGAGUCAGUCAGUCAGUUAAACUGUCUCAGUCGACAGAAAAAAGCAAUGACAACAAUUUAGAUAAUCAUUCAUUCUCCAUUGUUCUUUGUUUCCAGCUUCGGAAAUGAGUGUAUAUUUGAAUAUAUAAAGAAAUAUAUAAAGACAAGAAUAUAGAAAUAAAUAAAUAUGGGGAGGAUGGGAAAGGAAAGGGAAAUGCUGCAUAAAUAAGUAAAUAAAUAAAUACAAUUUAAUAAUGAAGAAAUACAUUUAAAAGUUAAUAAAAAAUAAAUAAAAGUAGAAAUUUAAUAGUAGAGUAGAUAGAUACCUCCAUACCGACCAUCAUCUACUGAAUGUAAUACACUGAUUAUCAAUACCUCAUACAAUCCUACUUUAAAACACCCAGACUAUCUCUUUAACCCUGCUCACUGCUAAGAAAUGAAUGGUGCCUUUAAUGAAGAAAAUAAGUAGGUUGAGACAAACGGUGACUUAAAAUCUAAUUCAGUUGAACAUAUUAGUCUUCUUAAAAAGCGAAAUAGAUUUUCUCUCCUGAGUCAUGUGAAGCACGUAAUGAUUAUCUUCUGUGCCUCUGAACCCUGAGUGAGAAUCACUUUGCAGUGAAUGAGAUGCAGUUUUCACCCUCAAUCAAACUAAGACUAUACUUUCAGGGAUCAUUUCUAAAGUUUCUGACUUGAGAAAUGUGUUUCUAAAGUGUUUGGUUUCGCUAACCACGAUGAUGAGUUGUGAUAUUCCCUUCAGAGCGUGAAGCUGACAGAGAAUAAUGUUUCACUUCAUAUGUUCUCUGUCAUUGAUGAUCGUUCUUUGCUUCUUUAUGGAGCUUUGAUGAAGGGAAUAUGAUCAGAGUGGUAGCAGCACAAAUAUAAAAAUUAAAAUAAAGAUAUGCUAUGGUUGCUUUAGAUAUCCACUUCAGAGCAAUGUUGAUAAGAUUUCCUAGGUAGUUGUUUGAGAGACUGUUAAGGUUUAGUGAGGAAACAACUAGAUCAUUAUUGUGUUAGUGGAUUAACAGAGUAGUAAUCAACCAUUUUGAUAUUCAGUUAAUCAUGUCAUCAAUAUAAUAACCUCUGGAGGACUUGACAUUUAGUAAUGAUUUAAAAAAAACAUAUCAGUUGAAAGAAAUUAAACAAAAAUCAUGAAUGUUUAUUGGGACUUGAACACAUCUUCUUCCAAUCAGUGAGAGAAAUUAGUCUUUUGUCUUGCCAGUAUUUGAACCAUCAACUUUUCCUACUUUGAUUCUUACUUUUCUUGCUUUUUCUUUAUCGUCCCUCAGUUCUGCUUUUCUCUUCUAUCUGUGUGCUGUCAGAGUCAUGCAGGGAUUGGCUGCUGCGACACAACAACUGGAGGAGCUUGUUGAUGGCAGAGAGGAACCCUCAGUGAUAUGAUGGUAAGAUGAAGCUUCAUGAAGCACAGAAGCUCUCCAGCAAAGUGGUUUGCAAAAGGGUUCAUUUCACGAGGCUCCAUGUGGGCUCCAUGUGCUCAGGAAACCACCUGUUGGUCAAAGAGUGUAAAACAGGCAGAUAUAUUCCAGAUAUGUGACAGUGGUUUAACCGGGCAGAGGACAGUGAAUGUGCUUGUGAAACUAGAGGUAAAUGAUAGAUGGGAGACAUUUUUCGUUUUUCUUCUGCCUCCUUUAUGGAGCUUUGAUGAAGGGAAUAUGAUAAAAAUAAUGAAAUAUAAUUAUCAGCAGAGUAUGUAGCAUUAUUACGUAAUAUUUAUACAAAGUACAAUAAUUACUUCCAGGUCAGGAGAGAAAUUAGACUUUUGUGUUGCCAGUAUUUUGAACUUUGGCUCAUUGUGAUCAGUAUUCAUUUUUUAACUUUUCUUAUUUUGUGACUUACUUAAGACCUUUUAUACAAGUGUUUUCUUUAUCUCAGUGCUGCCUCUCCCUGUCUGUGUGCUCUCUGUAUCACAGCUGUGCUGUCAGAGUCAUGCAGUGAUUGGUUGGGCUUUUUCAUUUAUAUAAACACACAUGUCUGGAUGAGACGCAGCUACUGGAGGAGCUUGAUGAUGGUAGAGAAGAACCCUGAGUGAGAAUGAUUCUCCUGUGAAUGAGAUGCAGUUUUCACCCUCAGAAUCAUUAAGACUAUACUUUCAGGGAUCAUUUCUAUAGUUUCUGACUUGAGAAAUGUGUUUUUAAAGUGUUUGGUCUCGCUAACCACGAUGAUGAGUCGUGAUAUUCCCUACUGAGCAUGAAGCUGAUAGAGAAUAAUGAUUCACUUCAUAUGUUUUCUGUCAUUGAUGAUCGUUCUUUGCUUCUUUAUGGAGCUUUGAUGAAGGGAAUAUAAUCAGAGUGAUAGCAGCAGAUGUGUAGAAAAGCAAUUUCAGUCACGACAAUAUAAAAUUAUGUUAAGUGCUGUUUGCAAUUCAUACGCAGCUUACAUAAUUAACUUUAUGUGUUUAGAACAGAUAUUGUGGGGAAGGUUUAAGAAGUGUGAAGGCUGGCUAAGUUUAAACACUGAGUCAGUCGGCCAGUUAAACUUUCUCAGUCGACAGAAAAAAACAAUGACAGCAAUUUAGAUAAUCAUUCAUUGUCAGUCGUUCUUUGUUUCCAGCUUCUGAAAUGAGUGUAUAUUUGAUAAUGAAAGUAGUUGUUAGUUUCAGCCCUGCUCAGGUUACUUGAGGGACUUUCAAAGUGUAUCGUCUGCUGACCACAAUGUUGAAGAGUAUUUAUACUCCUGUUUGAGUGUGAAGCAGACACUAAAUAAUGAUUCAGUUCAUCUGUUCU